rnacentral:rRNA from 1 species
UACGUAGGUGACAAGCGUUGUCCGGAUUUACUGGGCGUAAAGAGCGCGCAGGCGGUCGUUCAAGUCGAGUGUGAAAGCCCCCCGGCUCAACUGGGGAGGGUCAUUCGAUACUGAUCGACUCGAAGGCAGGAGAGGGUAGUGGAAUUCCCGGUGUAGUGGUGAAAUGCGCAGAUAUCAGGAGGAACACCGGUGGCGAAGGCGGUUCUCUGGGCAUGACCUGACGCUGAGGAGCGAAAGUGUGGGGAGCGAACAGG